rnacentral:rRNA from 1 species
CGAACGAUGAUGUCCCGCUUGCGGGACGGAUUAGUGGCGAACGGGUGAGUAAUACGUGAGUAACCUGCCCCUGACUCUGGGAUAAGCCUGGGAAACCGGGUCUAAUACUGGAUACUACCUCCCGCCGCAUGGUGGGUGGUGGAAAGGGUUCUACUGGUUUUGGAUGGGCUCACGGCCUAUCAGCUUGUUGGUGGGGUAAUGGCUCACCAAGGCGACGACGGGUAGCCGGCCUGAGAGGGUGACCGGCCACACUGGGACUGAGACACGGCCCAGACUCCUACGGGAGGCAGCAGUGGGGAAUAUUGCACAAUGGGCGCAAGCCUGAUGCAGCGACGCCGCGUGAGGGAUGACGGCCUUCGGGUUGUAAACCUCUUUCAGUAGGGAAGAAGCGAAAGUGACGGUACCUGCAGAAGAAGCGCCGGCUAACUACGUGCCAGCAGCCGCGGUAAUACGUAGGGCGCAAGCGUUGUCCGGAAUUAUUGGGCGUAAAGAGCUCGUAGGCGGUUUGUCGCGUCUGCUGUGAAAGCCCGGGGCUCAACCCCGGGUCUGCAGUGGGUACGGGCAGACUAGAGUGCAGUAGGGGAGACUGGAAUUCCUGGUGUAGCGGUGAAAUGCGCAGAUAUCAGGAGGAACACCGAUGGCGAAGGCAGGUCUCUGGGCUGUUACUGACGCUGAGGAGCGAAAGCAUGG